rnacentral:rRNA from 1 species
GACGAACGCUGGCGGCGUGCCUAAUACAUGCAAGUAGAACGCACAGUUUAUACCGUAGCUUGCUCCACCAUAGACUGUGAGUUGCGAACGGGUGAGUAACGCGUAUGUAACCUGCCUGGUAGCGGGGGAUAACUAUUGGAAACGAUAGCUAAUACCGCAUAAUAUUGAUUAUUGCAUGAUAAUUGAUUGAAAGAUGCUAUUGCAUCACUACCAGAUGGACCUGCGUUGUAUUAGCUAGUAGGGGAGGUAACAGCUCACCUAGGCGAAGAUACAUAGCCUACCCGGGAGGGUGAACGGCCACCAUGGGAAUGAGACACGGCCCAAACUCCUACGGGGGGCAGCAGUAGGGAAACAUCGGAAAUGGACGGAAGUCUGACCGAGCAACGCCGCGGGGGGGAAGAAAGUUUUCGGAUCGUAAAGCUCUGUUGGAAGAGAAGAACGGGUGUGAGAGUAGAAAGUUCACACUGUGACGGUAUCUUACCAGAAAGGGACGGCUAACUACGUG